CAUUUCCGGAUCUUCCACCAUAGUCGGGUUGGGAUUAACCAAAAAAACUUCCAAUGACUCCUUUUGUUGGUUAAAUACUUCAGUGACCAAGGAGUCGAUUUCUCAGAUGCUGAAACAACUCUCACUUGUAUCCGGAUACUUGAUGGCAUCAAAAACAUUAAAGGUUACCUCCUCCUCUUGUACUCUCAACCGCAAUUCUCCCCUUUGGACAUCAAUUAGAGCUCGGCCAGUAGCUAAGAAUGGUCUGCCAAGAAUGAUAGGAAUUUUCCUAUCCUCCUCCAUGUCUAGAAUGAGGAAGUCGGCUGGAAGAAUAAACUUGUCCACCUUAACAAGCACAUCCUCAGUAAUUCCCCUUGGGUGUUUUAUUGAGUGAUCCACUAAUUGUAAUGAUACUGUAGUAGGUCUCGCCUCACCUAGUCCAAGUUUCCUAAAAAUAGACAAAGGCAUAAGAUUAAUACUUGCACCUAAGUCACAUAAAACUCUUUCAAACAUAGAAUUUAUAAUUGAACAAAGGAUAGUAAAACUCCUUGGAUCCUUGAACUUUGGAGGCAAUUUCUUUUGUAGAAUUGCACUUCUCUCUUCAGUAAGGGCUACUGUCUCAUAUUCUUCCAAUCUCCUCUUGUUUGACAAGAUGUCCUUCAUAAAUUUCACGUAGCUUGGCAUUUGUUCGAGAGCUUCUGCACAAGGAAUGUUAAUAUGCAAUUUUUUAAACACAUCUAAAAAUUUAGAAAAUUGCUUAUAAAGCUUAUUCUUUUUGAGUCGUUGAGGGAAUGGAACUUUUGGUGCUAGAUCCUGUGGUGGGAUUGGUUGAUUGUCAGAAAUCUCCUCGCUAAGCGUUGGUGUGUGGAGUUGCAUCUCUUGAUCUUCUUUUUCAAACUUUUCACUAGUAAUUGGAGCUUCUAACUCUUUUCCAUUUCUCAAAGUGAUCGCCUCACACUGUUCCUUUGGAUUCACUUCAGUUGUGCUAGGCAAGUUUCCUUGUUGUCUCCCAGUUAGCAUAUUAGCCAAUUGACCGACCUGGACUUCUUAAUUCCGUAUCGAAGCUGCUUGAUUCUGAAAAUUGGUCUUAGUCUCUGUUAUGAAUCUGUUGGUGUUAGUUGCUAAUUGUGCCGUUGCUUCUUCAAGUGCUAACUUCUCUUUCGGCGGAUCACUAGACGAUGGACCAGGUGGAGGUUUCAAUGCAUUCUGAUUAUUCCAUGAAAAUUUGGGGUGAUGUUUCCAUCCAGGGUUGUAUGUUGCACUAUAUGGAUUGUUUUGCCGAUUGUAAUUUGCAACAAAGUGUGCUUGCUCCGCUUGGGAUUGAAAGAAGGGAUUUCCCACUUGACAUUCUUCACUUGGAUGGUUUCCAUGACAAAAAUCACAAGCCAGUGGUGUCAAGUGAAUGGCAUUUGCUGUCAGUUGGUUGGCCUUCAAUUGUUGAGUAAGAUUAUGGACUUGAG
rnacentral:lncRNA from 1 species